UACGUAGGGUGCAAGCGUUGUCCGGAAUUAUUGGGCGUAAAGAGCUCGUAGGCGGUCUGUCGCGUCUGCUGUGAAAACUCGGGGCUUAACCCCGGGCCUGCAGUGGAUACGGGCAGGCUAGAGUUCGGUAGGGGAGACUGGAAUUCCUGGUGUAGCGGUGAAAUGCGCAGAUAUCAGGAGGAACACCGAUGGCGAAGGCAGGUCUCUGGGCCAUACUGACGCUGAGGAGCGAAAGCGUGGGGAGCGAACA
rnacentral:rRNA from 1 species